rnacentral:rRNA from 1 species
GAUGAACGCUGGCUGCGUGCCUAAUACAUGCAAGUCGAGCGAACAGACGAGUAGCUUGCUCCUCUGACGUUAGCGGCUGACGGGUGAGUAACACGUGGAUAACCUACCUAUAAGACUGGUAUAACUUCGGGAAACCGGAGCUAAUACCGGAUAAUCUCUUGAACCGCAUGGUUCAAUAGUGAAAGACGGUUUUGCUGUCACUUAUAGAUGGAUCCGCGCCGCAUUAGCUAGUUGGUAAGGUAACGGCUUACCAAGGCAACGAUGCGUAGCCGACCUGAGAGGGUGAUCGGCCACACUGGAACUGAGACACGGUCCAGACUCCUACGGGAGGAAGCAGUAGGGAAUCUUCCGCAAUGGGCGAAGGCCUGACGGAGCAACGCCGCGUGAGUGAUGAAGGUCUUCGGAUCGUAAAACUCUGUUAUUAGGGAAGAACAAAUGUGUAAGUAACUAUGCACGUCUUGACGGUACCUAAUCAGAAAGCCACGGCUAACUACGUG